rnacentral:rRNA from 1 species
UACAGAGGGGGCAAGCGUUGUUCGGAAUUACUGGGCGUAAAGGGCGCGUAGGCGGCCUGUUAAGUCGAACGUGAAAUCCCCGGGCUCAACCCGGGAACUGCGUCCGAUACUGGCAGGCUUGAAUCCGGGAGAGGGAUGCGGAAUUCCAGGUGUAGCGGUGAAAUGCGUAGAUACCUGGAGGAACACCGGUGGCGAAGGCGGCAUCCUGGACCGGCAUUGACGCUGAGGCGCGAAAGCGUGGGGAGCAAACAGG